rnacentral:misc_RNA from 1 species
GAUGAAGAACGUAGCGAAAUGCGAUAAGUAAUGUGAAUUGCAGAAUUCAGUGAAUCAUCGAAUCUUUGAACGCACAUUGCGCCCGCCAGUAUUCUGGCGGGCAUGCCUGUUCGAGCGUCACUACAACCCUCAGGCCCCCGGGCCUGGCGUUGGGGAUCGGCGGAGCCCCCCGUGGGCACACGCCGUCCCCCAAAUACAGUGGCGGUCCCGCCGCAGCUUCCAUCGCGUAGUAGCUAACACCUCGCGACUGGAGAGCGGCGCGGCCACGCCGUAAAACACCCAACUCUUCUGAAGUUGACCUCGAAUCAGGUAGGAAUACCCGCUGAACUUAAGCAUAUCAAUAAGCGGAGG